rnacentral:rRNA from 1 species
UACGUAGGGUGCGAGCGUUGUCCGGAAUUAUUGGGCGUAAAGAGCUCGUAGGCGGUCUGUCGCGUCCGUUGUGAAAAACUCGAGGCUCAACCUCGGGGCUUGCAGUGGAUACGGGGCAGACUAGAGUGCGGUAGGGGGAGACUGGAAUUCCUGGUGUAGCGGUGGGAAUGCGUAGAGAUCAGGCGGAACACCCGUAGCGAAGGCGGCCAGCUGGGCCGUCCCUGACACUGAGGCGCGAAGGCGUGGGGGAGCGAACGGGG